UCGAACGGGAAAUAUUUCAUUGAGACUUCGGUGGAUUUGAUCUAUUUCUAGUGGCGGACGGGUGAGUAACGCGUGGGUAACCUGCCUUAUACAGGGGGAUAGCAGUCAGAAAUGGCUGCUAAUACCGCAUAAGCGCACAGAGCUGCAUGGCUCAGUGUGAAAAACUCCGGUGGUAUAAGAUGGACCCGCGUUGGAUUAGCUAGUUGGUGGGGUAACGGCCCACCAAGGCGACGAUCCACAGCCGGCCUGAGAGGGUGAACGGCCACAUUGGGACUGAGACACGGCCCAGACUCCUACGGGAGGCAGCAGUGGGGAAUAUUGCACAAUGGGGGAAACCCUGAUGCAGCGACGCCGCGUGAAGGAAGAAGUAUCUCGGUAUGUAAACUUCUAUCAGCAGGGAAGAUAGUGACGGUACCUGACUAAGAAGCCCCGGCUAACUACGUGCCAGCAGCCGCGGUAAUACGUAGGGGGCAAGCGUUAUCCGGAUUUACUGGGUGUAAAGGGAGCGUAGACGGUGUGGCAAGUCUGAUGUGAAAGGCAUGGGCUCAACCUGUGGACUGCAUUGGAAACUGUCAUACUUGAGUGCCGGAGGGGUAAGCGGAAUUCCUAGUGUAGCGGUGAAAUGCGUAGAUAUUAGGAGGAACACCAGUGGCGAAGGCGG
rnacentral:rRNA from 1 species